GUCACAAAGACCUUCCUUCUCCCUGCUAACACCAGCUCUGUGCUGGGAGGCCACACCAACCACCACAGUAUGCGCUCACACACAGAAUGCCACGGGGUUUUAGCACUGAUUCUGCCGAAGAAAUGGCUGAAGAGGAAACGGAGCCCAAAUUUUACCAGGAUGACCAGGGCCCCACCCUCGCAGGGAGCUCCCACCCGGAUUAAAGCGUCCCUUGAAGCUCGACAUGGGCCCUGCCUGAGUUCUGCUGGCUGGAAUGUGGGCACAGUGGCUGGAGCUGCAGCAGACAUUUGGACCAUGACUUGGAAACUGAGUUGAAAAAGGCAGGAGCUUGGGACCCUGGUGAUCAUGCAGCCACCAAAGCAUCCCUGGACCACCUACCUCUGAACUGUGUUUAUGUGAAAGGACAAAUUCUGCCCUAUUGAAACCUCGGUUGUGUUGGGUUUUGCUGUGAAGACAAUUAAACAUGCUCAUAACAAAAGGGGUGGAGAGGCUGGGCAUUAGUUACCCAUUGCAGUGGGGCGGGAGGGACAACAAAUGGUACUGGCAAUACCCAGGGUGGGACUGGCUGCGAUGACCAGGCGGGGCUGGCUGAGUGGUUGGUGGCUGGCUGGGAGCUGGGUGCCCUGGGGCAGCGGGCUGUCGGGAACAGUGUUCUAAGAGCUAGUGGUCAGCAGGUGGGAGGUCUCUGAUGGCAGCCAGAUAGGACGGGAAACUGGCAUGUGAGUUGAGAUGGAGGCAGGGGGAGAGGAGGCCAGAGGGUGGUUGGGCUAGACAGGCUCCGACCUUGAGGUUGGCUGGUUCUGACAGCCACCCCCAGUUGUCCACCUCCUCCUCCCUGCUCCCCGUUUCACACCCAUCAUCACUGAUCUAUACUGAUGCUCAGAUGCAACUGCCUGCUCCACCGGGACUAAUUGUGACCUUGGACAAGAGACUUCUCCUCUCUGAGCUUCAGUGUUUUUCACCAGGAAAGCAGGGGCUGGGGAGAAUGAUAGCAGCCACCUUGCGGGCGAUGGUGCAGAUCAAGUGAGAAAAGACACACAAAGCACUUAUGCACCUGUCAUACAGUGUCUGUAAAAUAAAGACAUGAAAUGUUAAAAGGCCGGUGAGAGAGGUAUGUGGUGAGACUUGGCAGGCAUGCCGCUGAGGCUCUGAGAGGUGCAGCAACUUGGCCAAGGUCACACAGCAAGUAGAUGGUCUGGUGGAGACCAGAGCCUCUGGGCUGCGUCCAGAAUGGCUAUUCUUCCCACUUUAUGUUGCUGGCUAAGUGGGGUGUCACUGGCCUUGUGGGAGCUUUGGGGGAACCAGAAGAAGCCCGAAAAGCAGGGCUGCAGCUCACCCUCAGCCCACCCCAGGGCGGAGGGGCUGGCACAGAGCUGGGACCCACCUGAGCCAUGGCUGGGCAGGAAGUGGUCCAGGAAGGCUGGCUUUUUCCUCCGCCGCUUGCUCUCGAUGCCAUGGGGGUCUGCGGGAAGGCAGAGGUGAGGACCCCUGGACCCAAUAGCCCCUCCUCCCCAGCCUGGGGCAGGGCAGGACAGGGGGGACCUGGAGAUGGGGUGGGAAGGGGCAAAGGGGACACACCAGAACUGUUCAGCUCUCCCAGGACGUCGGGCAUCCCCCGUUUCCGCUUCUUGUCCACACCGUAGCUGUCUGUUCAGGAGAUAUCAGGGACAUACAGAGUAAUCCAUCAACAACAACAAUUAAGAAUUAAUUUUAGAGGCCGUUUAGAAAGUUGUUGAGCUUGACCAACCCAUGCAAAUAGAUGUCCACAUCUUAAUCAGAAUACAACGCAAAUCCACUCCUAACCAAGCUGGUCUUUGUUGUUCCUGGAAAACCCCAGGCACUAUCCUGCCUCAGGGCCUUUGCACUUGCUGUUCUAGCUGCUUAAAACACUCUUCCUCACCCUGGCCAGUGUUGCUCAGUGGUUAGAGGGUCAGCCCAAGCACCCAAGGGUCUCAGGUUUGAUUCCCGGUCAAGGGCAUAUACUUAGGUUGGAAGUUCUGUCCCCUGCCCGAUCCCUGGUGCCUAGCGAACAGCAACCCAUUGAUGUGUCUCUCUCAUAUCGAUGCUUCUCUCUCCCCUUUCUCCCUCCCUCCCUUCCACUCUCUCUAAAAAAAAAAAAA